AUUGAACGCUGGCGGCAGGCCUAACACAUGCAAGUCGAGCGGAUGAGGGGAGCUUGCUCCCUGAUUUAGCGGCGGACGGGUGAGUAAUGCGUAGGAAGCUGCCCGAUAGAGGGGGAUACCAGUUGGAAACGACUGUUAAUACCGCAUAAUGUCUACGGACCAAAGUGUGGGACCUUCGGGCCACAUGCUAUCGGAUGCGCCUACGUGGGAUUAGCUAGUUGGUGAGGUAAUGGCUCACCGAGGCGGCGAUCUCUAGCUGGUUUGAGAGGAUGAUCAGCCACACUGGAACUGAGACACGGUCCAGACUCCUACGGGAGGCAGCAGUGGGGAAUAUUGGACAAUGGGCGCAAGCCUGAUCCAGCCAUGCCGCGUGUGUGAAGAAGGCCUUCGGGUUGUAAAGCACUUUCAGCGAGGAGGAAGGGUGGUGUGUUAAUAGCACAUCAUUUUGACGUUACUCGCAGAAGAAGCACCGGCUAACUCUGUGCCAGCCGCCGCGGUAAGAC
rnacentral:rRNA from 1 species